CUGCUCCUAGCCUUGGAGGCGUUGUACAGAAAGAAGUCCUUCUGCAGGUGCUGCUUGUUGCCGUGCAUCUAAGGGAGAGAAGAGCCCAAGAGGCGGUCUGAAGCUCGUCAGGGACGGCACACCUCGUAGAUGGCGAAACCGAUAGUGAAGAGGUUAGCCCCCAGUUUCCGGUCCUUCCUCCGGUUCUUCUGCAUCAGAGCCACCAGGAAACUACAGAUCACCUCGGAAUCAUCGGGAUCGUCGUCCUCCUCUAGGAGCUUCAGACGGUACUGUGGGUUGGUCCAGAAAGUGUCUGUGCCCCCCCAAAAGGAAUUGCACUUUCAGAUCUGCCUCUCAGAGAAAGGAAAGGACAGGAGAUGAGACGGAGGGAACCUAUUCAUCUCUAGCCUCCUCAUCUACAUGCUCAAAUAUGUAUGAAAAAUAAAAAAUAUCCAGGCAUUUA